CCUACGGGUGGCAGCAGUGGGGAAUAUUGCGCAAUGGGCGAAAGCCUGACGCAGCGACGCCGCGUGAGGGAUGAAGGUCUUCGGAUCGUAAACCUCUGUCAGCAGGGAAGACCAGUCACUGUGCUAAUCAGCAGUGAAUUGACGGUACCUGCAAAGGAAGCACCGGCUAACUCCGUGCCAGCAGCCGCGGUAAUACGGAGGGUGCGAGCGUUAAUCGGAAUUACUGGGCGUAAAGCGCUCGUAGGCGGUAUGUCAAGUCAAGGGUGAAAGCCCCGCGCUCAACGUGGGAACUGCCUUUGAAACUGGCAAACUGGAGUGUGGGAGAGGAGAGUGGAAGUCCAGGUGUAGGAGUGAAAUCCGUAGAUAUCUGGAGGAACAUCAGUGGCGAAGGCGACUAUCUGGCACAUAACUGACGCUGAGGAGCGAAAGCGUGGGUAGCAAACAGGAUUAGAUACCCGUGUAGUC
rnacentral:rRNA from 1 species